CUCUAAGGAACUAAGAGAUACCUCUUAAUCAUCUGCCCUUGUCCUCAUGGGUGACUACAACUAGCUAGAAAUUAACUGGGUGCAUCACACAGCUGGCACAAACAGAUCCAGAAAAUUCCUAAAACACCUCGAUGACAACUUCAUGGUACAUGUACUACAAGAGCCAACGAGGAAAGAAGCCCUCCUUGAUUUGUUGCUUGUUAACAGAGAGGGUCUCAUGAGUGAAAUGGAGAUUGGUGGCCUUCUUGGCCACAGCGACCACAAAGCAAUCAAGUUUAAAAUCUGUUGAUGGGAGGAAAAGUGCCAGCAAAAUUUCAACCCUGGACAUGAGGAGAGUAGACUUCAGGCUGCACAGGGAACUAAUGCUAAGCCUGAAACAGAGAUGAUUCAGAACAACACGGAGGUAGUCUGUUUUUACAAGGAACUCUGUCUUCAUGAAUACACAUUUCUUUUAAAACAAGACCCAUGACAGAUGCCAGGUGGAAUGAUUAAAGCAGUGGGUGGAUUU